rnacentral:rRNA from 1 species
CCCUUAGAUGUUCUGGGCCGCACGCGCGCUACACUGAUGAAUUCAACGAGUUUAUAACCUUGGUUGAGAAGCCUGGGUAAUCUUUUGAACGUUCAUCGUGAUGGGGAUAGAUUAUUGCAAUUAUUAAUCUUCAACGAGGAAUUCCCAGUAAGCGCGAGUCAUAAGCUCGCGUUGAUUACGUCCCUGCCCUUUGUACACACCGCCCGUCGCUACUACCGAUUGAACGGUUUAGUGAGGGCCUCGGAUUGGUCUCGGCCCGCUCUUUACCGGGCGGCGCCGUUGGUCGAGAAGACGCUCGAACUUGAUCGUUUAGAGGAAGUAAAAGUCGUAACA